GAUACUGCACUAUGAAGCUUAUGGAGCAGAACAUGAUAAGAAAGGACCUCUCUGACUCCUUCAACUGCUUAAUAAUUAACUGUACACUUACAUGCACAGAAUUGAUUCUGUGAUGGUUGGUCUUUCAGCAAGUAACUGAAACCUUCAUGUAAGAAGAGAAGAUAGAGUCCUGUUUCUUUAUGAAUCCUUUCACAGAUCCAGUCUAACAGUAAAGAUCUAGGAAGGAGUCCCGCUCAGAUGGUGGAUUUAGAGCUUUCAUUAUAGGGACAUUUCUCAGAAUGAAGAUGGAAAAUAGGAAAAUCAGUGCAGGAGAAGAAUAAGGAACACCAUAAAAUUAACUCAGAUACUUCAGCUUUGUUGAUAAUAUGGGCAGAGGGUGUAAUAAUGAUAGUUGGCUCCUCUGUCUAUUCAGUUUGCUUAUGUAGCUUGCCAUAGUAUAUUCUCCUAUGCUUUUAUCUUUGUGAUAUAACUCAAUAAAAAUGUAUUUUAGCUUUGUUCAUGCCUAAGACAUGGUUAAAUUGAAUAUUUAAAUGUGUCUGUUUCCAGGCAGCAUGACCUGUUGGUUUUCACCAUUAUCAUCAUCAAGAGCCACUGGAUUUGCCUCCUGAAUCAUCAGGUAGCACAAGUUAUGGUGACCCUGAUGCCAUGCAUGGAAACCAUCCUAGUAAUUGCAGAAAGGGAAGGUGGAAGUCAACGUUAACAUUUUCAAGCCUGACUUCUGUCCAAAUUGUGAAUCUAUAUCCUCAAAUCAAAGUAACUUUGUGUAAAUAUGGAAAUUGUUUCAAGGCCAAAUCUUCAUUGCUGAUGUCACUGCUGAGCAUGCCAUUCAGAUGAAAGAACAAAACCGAAAGCUCCACAGGGGGCAAAGAGAGAAAUUGUCUGUGUAGAUCCAUGCCUCUUGCUUCUUCCAUGAAAUCCUCCGUCUUGGCACUCCCUUCAGUGCUGUAGGUCUGGAGGCACACAGCACAACUUAUCAGAUUUCUCAUGAUGUUCAAAGUUCUCCUAAAGUUCCAGCUGUGGGAAACAGGCAAAUUGUGUGGGAAAUUCAGAUUUCUUUUCCUUUUUCUCAAAGCAUGUUACAAGCAUUUUGGGUCUAAGAGAACUGCCUGAAACUAUGUCACAGGUACACCACUCUUGACUGGAGACAGAAGGCAAAUUAAAAAUGUAUAUGAUUUUAAAACGUUUAUGAACUUUAACCCAACGUCCUGGUU
rnacentral:lncRNA from 1 species